rnacentral:rRNA from 1 species
AUUGAACGCUGGCGGCAGGCCUAACACAUGCAAGUCGAACGGUAACAGGAAACUGCUUGCUGUUUCGCUGACGAGUGGCGGACGGGUGAGUAAUGUCUGGGAAACUUCCUGAUGGAGGGGGAUAACUACUGGAAACGGUAGCUACUACCGCAUAACGUCGCAAGACCAAAGAGGGGGACCUUCGGGCCUCUUGCCAUCGGAUGUGCCCAGAUGGGAUUAGCUAGUAGGUGGGGUAACGGCUCACCUAGGCGACGAUCCCUAGCUGGUCUGAGAGGAUGACCAGCCACACUGGAACUGAGACACGGUCCAGACUCCUACGGGAGGCAGCAGUGGGGAAUAUUGCACAAUGGGCGCAAGCCUGAUGCAGCCAUGCCGCGUGUAUGAAGAAGGCCUUCGGGUUGUAAAGUACUUUCAGCGGGGAGGAAGGGAGUAAAGUUAAUACCUUUACUCAUUGACGGUACCCGCAGAAGAAGCACCGGCUAACUCCGUG